rnacentral:rRNA from 1 species
GGUCGGGGUACGGAAAGGGGGGAAUUCUUUCGGUAGUUCAGUUUGCGGACGGGUGAGUAACGCGUCUUUAAAAGAAAAAAGGUUCGGGAAACCCCUGGAAACGGUGGCCAUCCUUAGAUGUGCUGUCAGUAAAAGAUUUAUCGCCUGAAGAUGAGCUCGCGUCUGAUUAGCUAGUUGGUGAGGUAAAUCCUCACGAGGGCGACGAUCAGUAGCUGGUCUGAGAGGAUGACCAGCCACACUGGGACUGAGACACGGCCCAGACUCCUACGGGAGGCAGCAGGGGGGAAUUUUCCGCAAUGGGCGAAAGCCUGACGGAGCAAGACCGCGUGAGGGAGGAAGGCCCUUGGGUUGUUAACCUCUUUUCUCAGGGAAGAAGAAAGUGACGGUACCUGAGGAAUCAGCCUCGGCUAACUCCGUGCCAGCAGCCGCGGUAAUAAUCG